rnacentral:rRNA from 1 species
AGUGAACGCUGGCGGUAGGCCUAACACAUGCAAGUCGAACGGCAGCACAGUAAGAGCUUGCUCUUACGGGUGGCGAGUGGCGGACGGGUGAGGAAUACAUCGGAAUCUACUUUUUCGGGGGGGAUAACGUAGGGAAACUUACGCUAAUACCGCAUAUGACCUACGGGUGAAAGCAGGGGAUCUUCGGACCUUGCGCGAUUGAAUGAGCCGAUGUCGGAUUAGCUAGUUGGCGGGGUAAAGGCCCACCAAGGCGACGAUCCGUAGCUGGUCUGAGAGGAUGAUCAGCCACACUGGAACUGAGACACGGUCCAGACUCCUACGGGAGGCAGCAGUGGGGAAUCUUGCGCAAUGGGCGAAAGCCUGAUCCAGCAAUACCGCGUGAGUGAUGAAGGCCUUCGGGUUGUAAAGCCCUGUUGUUGGGAAAGAAAAACAGCAGGUUUAUACCGCGCUGUUCUGACGGUACCCAAAGAAUAAGCACCGGCUAACUUCGUG